UAUUAAUUACUUCAAAAAGAGCACAUGCAGUGAAUAAAAAGAUUAAAUUCGCUGGAGUUUGCAGAGUGUGUUGGGUGUGUGCUGAACGAUUUGCAUUUUGCACCUUCGUAAAUUUGCUUGAAAUUUCAAUUAAAAAUUGCAAAGUGUGUGAGAAAAUUCUGCAAUGCAAUUAAGGCGGGGAGGGAUGAAUGUAAAAUGCCUCUGCACGUUUUUCAUUAAGACAUCGUCGUAAGAAAUUCCUCUAGCCUUGUUGCUAUGUAUACCACCUCCCCCCAUCGUGUGUGGAUUAUUUUAACUCAUUUGUCAGGAAAUUAAAAAAUCUACAUCAUCUCAAUGGGGCGUUUAGUGUGGAAAAUAUCCUCAAGUCUCUUCGGCAUAUAUUUGUUCUUCGUGAAGUUAAUUCAGCGGAAAAUAUUUAUUUGUCUAGCACGAGAUGGGGGGAUUCUGUGGGGGCGUAGGAGGGGGCGUGUGAUGCCAUUGUAAAGGAGCUCAGGACGUGCUUCACACGAAUGAGGAGCAAAGUACAUGCAAAUAUUUCCUCGCACGGUUGGUGCGCUAACAUUUGUAUUAGUGGGAUGUACAUCAUUUUGGACACUAUUCCUCCAGAGGUGAUAAUUUGAGCAACGAGAACGGUGUGUCAGGUGCGAAAUGGAUGUUGCUGCCACCCUCUGCCUUCACUAUGCAUCCACAUGGAUCAUUUUGUUCUAAUGAGUUUGGAUAAUUUUUUGGCGCAAACAUCGGACAUUUUUUCCCGUUGUUGUUGCUGCUGUGAAUAGGAAGUACUCAUGAUAUAGUGGGCGUCUGUAGUGGGGCAGUAAUUAAUUAACAAUUUCCAUAUAUUUUCAUUUAAAAAUUCUACGUUGUAGCCAAAGUUGAUUGCCAAACACUAAAUUAAAGAAUGGACCGUUGGAAGUUUUCACAUUUUUUCGGUUAAAGGGUUUGCUUAAAAAAGAUAGAGAGCUACUAAAAGGGACAAUAAAUCAAUUAAUUUUUAAACUUUUAAUGCUUUUCAUAUUAAUUUACUGUUCAAUUGGUAGCUCAAGGGGCAAUUAAUUAAUCGAAUAUUGAGCUCAGAGAAAAAAAAAUAACUAAAUUUUCCAAUAGAAACUCAACGAAAAAAAGCUCCUAAUUCCACAUAGAUCUUUAGAGCUUUUCAUUUAUAUACCUAAAUACUUAAAAUAUCGAUUUAUAAUUUAUUCAAACAUAGAAAACCAAAAACUGUUAUAAUUUUCUGAAUAUAUAAACUGAAAACAUACAAAAAUGACAUAAAAGUGCUCUAAAAAAAUGAACUUAGCAAACUUUUUAAAAGAGCAUAAAAGGUUUUAUUGUAAAAUAGAGGAUUUUAUUGAGCUCUAUUCUCGGAAAAUUCACUUUGUGUCGCAACUACUAUGGUGUACAAAACAUAAUUCAUAACAGUACUGAAGUGGACAAAAGGGAUUAUGUCAGUGCAAUUUAUUAUCCGGCGAGUUAUUUCAGAAAGUUAAAUUAGUUUUACAUUACCAACUUUUUCACACAAUGGAAAGUUUAAUUUUUCCUGAUUUGCCCCACUUUCCCCCAUGCACAUGCAAUUUUGCCCCCACUCUAUCCUAUAUGUAUGUAUAUAUAGUGAAAAUGGGAAAUUGUCCCUGAAAUACGAUUAUAUUCAAUUUAUUUUUCUCCUUCCAUCCAUGCCUUUUGUCUGCCCCACACACCAUAGCCAAAUGGUCAGGAAAUUGAGUUUUCCUCCGCUAUGGGAUUUAUAUUGAAUACAAAAAAAAAGAAUAUACAAGAGAUGUUGAAAAAACAAGAAGAAUUUAAUUGCAUUCUAAAUGGAUUUACAUGAAAAAGCUGCUUGAGACAGAAACAUAAAACCGCAUGUGGAGUAUUUAAUUAAUUUAAUGUUUAGUAAAUAAGAUUAUAAUAAAAUUAACAAGGAAUAAAUUUGGAAAGUUUCUUGACUGAAAUUUCAGGAAAGUUCAUCUUACGGGGUACACAGGGCUAAAGAAUCUCUAAAUUAAUUAAUUCCCCCUCAAAAGUUUCGCCCCAAAAACUUGACAUUCCCAUUCAGGAAUGAAAGUUAUGGCGAGGAGCUUCAUGUUAAAACCACUAAAUUACACCGAGAAUUAAAUUUUCUAAAUUUUACUACUUUUAGUAACUGCAAUGUAAUUUUAGGGGAAUUUUCCAUGGAGUAAAAUAAAAUGUAUAAAUUACAAUCAAA